UACAGAGGGGGCGAGCGUUGUUCGGAAUUACUGGGCGUAAAGGGCGCGUAGGCGGCCUUCUAAGUCGGACGUGAAAUCCCUCGGCUCAACCGGGGAACUGCGUCCGAUACUGGAUGGCUUGAAUUCGGGAGAGGGAUGCGGAAUUCCCGGUGUAGCGGUGAAAUGUGUAGAGAUCGGGAGGAACACCGGUGGCGAAGGCGGGUCUCUGGGCAAUUCCUGACGCUGAGGCGCGAAAGCGUGGGGAGCAAACGGG
rnacentral:rRNA from 1 species